GUGUGUGUGUGUGUGUGUGUGUGUGUGUGUGUGUGCGUGCGUCACAGGUCCCAUUUCAUUCGGUAGGUCGGGAAGUUGCAUGCAAUGUGCAAUAUUCACUAAGUGGCAUACAUUAUGAAUGCCUGAGUCCAUUCUUCGGAUAACAAGAUUUCCAUUAAAUGAUGAUUAUUUUGGAUAAUUUGAUAGUCACACUGGUUGUUUGACCUGAGAGCAGCAAAUGAAACAAAUGUGCUUCAAAUUUAGGCUGCAAAGAAUGUUCAUAUCAACAACACUGGAAAGGAGACAUCAGUCAUAUGCUUCAGAGGACUUACAUUACAACAUCACCUUAGUUUGACAAAAACCCAAACUCCCAGCCAGCUAGUGGAUACACAGAACUCCAGCUCCCAGGUUCCCAACCAACCAUCUGAAUUUCAAAUGAAAAACAGCAAAAAUGAUCCUCCUGCUGUACAAUGACAUUACACCACCCACCCACCCACCCCCCACCUCCUGUGUGUAUUAUUUUUAAAACUUAAACCAAGAGCCACUUUCUUGUCUCAAUUUUGAAUUAAUUUAAACAAGAAUAUUUGUAGUUUUUUUUUGCGUGUAUUGCAUCUUUUUCCUAUGUAUCAGAAAUAGAUGUCAUUAUCAUAUUUUGUAUUGAUUUACACUGGAAGUGUGCUUUGAAUUAAUUAAUGUACAGUUUUGGGGGAUGCAGAACAUUUUUAUUUGUUCUUUCAUUCAUAUCUGUUAUUUUCCUCUUAAAUAUUCAUUCAGGAUAUGAAAAUGUAUAGUUUACAUAUUCUUUGAAUGGUGACUAGAGUCUAGAACAAUGUGAGUUGGUAUUUUUUUUUUUUUUUUUUUGUCAUGUAGGAAAUUAACAAAACCGGAGAUUUGCUCCCUUGAUCCCCAUAUAAAAGAAUAUUUUUCUCAUUAACUUUGUUGUUUUCAUUUUGAACAACCAAUUUGUUGAAAAAGCAUAGAGUAGGCCUGAGUUUGGUGCUGUUUACUUAAUGUGCAUUUAUUGUGCAGUAAAGACACACACAAUUGUAAUAAUGCCUGUAAAUGUUGGCUGGAGAUAUCUGUACAGUCACACUUUUAAAAUCAGGCACACUACUUUGGCAAGAAUGGUACCAAUGCAAUGUGCAUGUGAUCCUGUGGUGUCGUCAUCACAGCAAUUGUGGAACACAAGCGUCUGUUCACUUACAAUAAGGUCUGGCUCGAAUCCACCGCUUAAUUUCUCUCAGAGCAAUGUGUUUCUCUCGCAAAUAUCUCCCAUUGGGCUCAAUAGGACCUCAUUAUCUGAUACAUACUUGACAAAGAAAGGCAGUCAGGUCUAAUGUGAUUAUCUGGUCUAUUUCUGAAGGGUUAUUCUUAAUGAAGGAUAUGUUCCAACAGUCAUCUCUUUUUUUUGUUGCUUUUUGUGGCCAUCUACUGAGCUGUUCAAAUGUGUUCCUCCUCUGGCAUUCCUGCAACACUUAUUUAAUUUUCUGUAAUCUCUUAAUCUGGUCAGCUAAUCCAUAGCCGGCACACUCAACUUCUUUACCCUACUUUGUCGCUCCUCGUAUUUGUGUCAAACGCCUGAAUCACUGUCUAUAAAAUAAAUAAAGCAAGGGUCAAUUUUUUUUAUUCCCCCCUCCAAUACAUUCAAUCCUAUUUUACCCCAAUCAUUCUUUAAAUUGACCAAACCUUUUUAAAUCACAACACGGCAAAUAAAAUGUCUUUGCUUCAUCACCUAA